UACGGAGGGUGCAAGCGUUAUCCGGAUUCACUGGGUUUAAAGGGUGCGUAGGUGGGUCUGUAAGUCCGUGGUGAAAUCGUCUAGGCUUAACCUGGAAACUGCCAUGGAUACUAUAGGUCUUGAAUACUGUGGAGGUCAGCGGAAUAUGUCAUGUAGCGGUGAAAUGCUUAGAUAUGACAUAGAACACCAAUUGCGAAGGCAGCUGGCUACACAAAUAUUGACACUGAGGCACGAAAGCGUGGGGAUCAAACAGG
rnacentral:rRNA from 1 species